rnacentral:rRNA from 1 species
CCUACGGGGGGCAGCAGUGAGGAAUAUUGGUCAAUGGACGGGAGUCUGAACCAGCCAAGUAGCGUGAAGGAUGACUGCCCUAUGGGUUGUAAACUUCUUUUAUAUGGGAAUAAAAUGUUCCACGUGUGGGAUUUUGUAUGUACCAUAUGAAUAAGGAUCGGCUAACUCCGUGCCAGCAGCCGCGGUAAUACGGAGGAUCCGAGCGUUAUCCGGAUUUAUUGGGUUUAAAGGGAGCGUAGGUGGAUUGUUAAGUCAGUUGUGAAAGUUUGCGGCUCAACCGUAAAAUUGCAGUUGAAACUGGCAGUCUUGAGUACAGUAGAGGUGGGCGGAAUUCGUGGUGUAGCGGUGAAAUGCUUAGAUAUCACGAAGAACUCCGAUUGUGAAGGCAGUUCACUGGACUGCAACUGACACUGAGGCUCGAAAGUGUGGGUAUCAAACAGGAUUAGAUACCCGGGUAGUC